AGAGUUUGAUCCUGGCUCAGAACGAACGCUGGCGGCAUGCCUAACACAUGCAAGUCGAACGAGACCUUCGGGUCUAGUGGCGCACGGGUGCGUAACGCGUGGGAAUCUGCCCUUCGGUUCGGAAUAACAGUUGGAAACUUGAGCUAAUACCGAAUGAUGUCUUCGGACCAAAGAUUUAUCGCCGAAGGAUGAGCCCGCGUCGGAUUAGCUAGUUGGUGAGGUAAGAGCUCACCAAGGCGACGAUCCGUAGCUGGUCUGAGAGGAUGAUCAGCCACACUGGGACUGAGACACGGCCCAGACUCCUACUGGAGGCUGCAGUGGGGAAUAUUGGACAAUGGGCGAAAUU
rnacentral:rRNA from 1 species